rnacentral:lncRNA from 1 species
CUCUGAAUAGUAAAGCCAGAAAUAGAGGGUGCUAUAUUAUUUACAGUUGCCUUGUCAGUAUUAAUGCCCUGGCUAUUUUCGAUCGCACGAGCCCUCUAUGGGAUUAUGAGGGUCUUACCCAGCGGUAAGAUGAAGCUCGCUUCCCAUUUGUGUAAUGGGAAAUCACGUUCAUAACUAUAACCAGGUCCAACAACAGGGUGACUGUAAUUCUACAGAUGAACUGGAGGGCUUUUCAAAUGUACAUCCAGAAGGGGCCUGUAUUUACAAGACCAGUGGAUUUUCAAAAGAAUUCCAGGACAAAGUUGUGGAAAGUUGUAGAUCAAGGGAAGAUGCAAAAUAAAUCCAAAAUCCUUGAAUAUCUCUUAGUGGACAAUCAAGGGAAUUAAUAAGAAGUGGAAAAAGCGCGGCACUGCCAAGACCUUGCUAGAUGAAGAGGACCCUCCAAACUGGAUGACCAUGCAAGAAAGAGAGUAAUCAGAGAGACUACUAAGAGUGUGUUCAGGUGUGCUCUGGAUGAAUUUGAGUCUGAAGUGACAGAGAUUUUCCCAGCAUGUCUUGAAGCCUUGGAAAGGUUGCCUUUUUGUCGUUUAGGAUUUUAUAACAUUGAAGGCAUCUCUUUCUUUAAGUCUGGUUGGGUGGGAACUAUAUAAGCAAAGAGGUGAUGGUUUCCUGCCAUGAGAGUUCCAGUGGCCAAUCAGUGGGUAGCACCUGUAGUUGUGGAGAUGUUGCCUGACUUGGGCUGCGGUCACACUUCAAGAAACUAGUCCGUGUUAUACGCAGUUCGAAUUCAAACUGUCCCAGCCCCGCUCACACCCAGCACCUGAAAAUCCAUUCUCCAUUUAAUCUUCACUGCUCACACCUUCCUUUUCCCGUUCUUAGUUGCCUGAAACGGUACCCAGUGGUGUAGCUACAUGAUCCGCCGCCCGGGGCGGACCAAACGGCGGAAGCCGAGCAGGGCGCCCCACCCUGCAGCUGCCUAC